GUGAUUGGUUGGUGUCCAAUCGUGCUGUGUCCAAAAGAGUGUCACCCAUCAGUAACUAUAUUUUACAAAAAAAAAACGGAUACAACUUACUUUUUGUUCUACAGUUGAUUGAUGAUACUUCGUAAAAUAAUGCUCCAAUAAAUAGGUAAUAUAUCUACACUAGAGGGCAAAUGUUCAGAGAGAAAAGAAGGGAAAAAGUAAACUUUUUUACAAAAAAAGUACCCUCUUACAAAUCUUUGGCCAAACACAAUACAAUUUCGUAGCGAUAACGCACACAACGAAAACCACGUAUACCUGAGGCGUCGCAAGCUCACGGUUUGCGGCGGCGCGACGGCAGCGAGCGUUUGAGCAGCCUUUAAACCAAAUAAUUUAAACCAAUACGGCGACGAAAAGAGAAACGGACAGAACAAAUGAUAGAAUUGACGCGCUAAGGCGUCGCGACGUCGCGAGCUCACGGUUUGCGGCGGCGCGACGGCCGCAGCCUUUGAAACAAAAUACAGCGACGAAAAGAGAAAGGAAUAGAACAAAUGAUAGAGUUGACGUGUUUAUAUAAAAUUCUUCCUUUAAUUCAUAUACAAUUGUAAAUUUACUUUACAACCGUAUAUGAAUUAAAGAAAAAAUUAUAUUUUUAUAACACUUUUGAGUUUUUGUUUACUCUACUUAGUGUUAAAAUUUUUUACAUUAUAAUAUUAGUAAAAAAAAUUUUGGCUGGCUUUAAAUUAAAAAAAAAUCCGACCUAGCUGCCGCCCCCUAAGCCCUGCCGCCCGGGUGCCUCUUGCAUCCCCGCUUAAGACGCCCCCGAUUCAGAUUUAUUUUUAUAAAAUCAAAAUUGUAUUGGCAAAUUUGUAUACUUAUUACAGGCCAUUAUAUUAUUAGAAAAUAUUGGUGCGAAAGUUCAUGGCGUUAUAACUGAUGGUGCAGCCACAAAUUUUGGACAACAGUGGGAAUAUGUGGUAGAAAAGAUAAUUUAAAAAAUAGUUUUAGUCAUCAUACAAUAGAUGGACGUUAUAUAUAUGUGUUUUUUCCGAUACACUACACCUCAAAACAAUAAAAAAUCGUUUGCAACACCACUACAGCUCAAUCUGAAUGAAGCUUUAGUAAAAUGGGAAUAUUUUCAAAUUUUGCACAAUAAGGACAAAACACUGCCAGCCGAAAUGCGUGUAUGUCCAAAAAUAACCAUCAUUUGACGCUCUCAAACAUGGCUAAAAUAAGAGUUCAAUUAGCAGUUCAAGUUUUCAAUAAAUCAAUGGCCAGUGGAUUAAAAUUUGACAAAAAUUUCUUACCUAAUUUGCAAGAUUGCGACAACACAGCAAACUUUUGCGAGUGGAUCAAUAAUUUAUUCGACGCAUUAAAUCAAAUUAAAGUUUCAGAAGGAAUGACAAUUGGAGAUAAACAUUAUAAGAUAAGUUCAGUUUUGAAUGUUUAGUUAAAAACAGUCUUUAUGUGUAGAAAAAAUAUUGUUAAAUAUGACAUUUUUAUUAGAUUUUAGAAGAAUCCCUUAUCAAGGUAAAUACUUGGGAACAAUAUGUCGUAAAUAGUAACAUAUCAGAAAAUCGUUUUUUAACAAGACAAACUGCAGAUAGGCUGAGAGUAACUAUACAAUCAACAUUCGAUUUAGUGAAGUAUUUGAUACUGAAUGCUAAUUUCAAUAGUGUCUUAACAAGACGAUUAAAUCAAGAUUCAUUGAAGGUGUUUCUUUAAAAUUUUUUAACUUUUAUAAUUUUUUUUCAAUAUUCAAACUUUAAUUUUUAAUAUUAACUCAAAAAUAUGUUUUUUAUAAUAUGAUUGUUACGUCUGGCGGAUAAAAUUUUUUCAUUUUCUUAUGCUAUCCUUUUCAGAGUUGUCUAGCAAUAGCAGAUUAAAUUUGGAACCACCCUCCGACCAAUUAAAUAAAACCUAAAUCUAUGCGGACAUCAUAAUUCGCUUCGGUACGCUUUUCCUACCAGUAUAAAGCGCGAAGUCGAGAAAAAUUAUAACACGGCCUUAUGCGAGCCCCGCGUCGCGCAGUUCCCGCGACCAUCUAGAAACGUCGUGCGUACAAUCUACGCGUCAUUGCACAAACUAUAAGCGCAAGCCGCGCGGUCGCGGAACGGUGCGGGUCUCUAAGGACUAUGCGUGUAACGACCGUACUUCGCGCACGGACGGUUAGCGGUGUGGGAACGGGCGCGAAAGGUCGCCUGAAGGAAUUAGACGUCGUUUUGGUUGGUGUAAAAUAAAAAGUUUAUUAAGAAUAGAAGAGACGCAGCAAGACUAACAUACGUCUCGUGAACAUACAAGCAGCGGUACGUAAUAAUAUCAGCGGUGUGGUUACAGAGAAUAUGGAGACGCGGAAUUAAUCGCGGAACUUAAACUAAUAACGAGAACGCGCGGACGGACGUGACAAUAAACUUCGCGGACGAAAAUACGGAAAGCUAUUUACAAGAUUAUAUACACAAGCACCUGCUACGCGAGACACGGUUCGCGGAACGUCGUCGCAUUAUUUUCCUGAAAACCAGGCGACCUUGUUAUUGUGGCCGUGAAACUGUCGCGAGACGCAGCGCGUGGUGCGGUAAGGCGGGGCGCGUACACGUACACGGAUCCGUGUGGUCGGUGUCGGUUUUCGCGCGGCUCGUCGCGAGACGGUUAAGAUCGCUAUAGCGAUCGCCGGAGGACACUAUCCCACGCCAAGUGCGCUUGGUGGAGGCACGGAGCACCGUACCUCCUUAUGCGAGGUAGCGUCGGACUCGGGAGGCGGAGAGGAUCGCUCUUUGUCAAGUGGCUUGACAGGGCCCAAGUUUUACUUGAGCCCGUUGCGGCGAGUCGGGAAGCGGAGUCGGAGUCGGAAACGGAGUUGGUUGCGAGCCAAGUAUCUUAGCAAAGACCGAGGCGCUCGAUCUCGGUAGCAACCUGGGGAGCUUCUAUUCGGCGGACCGGCCAGAAGCGGACAAGGUGCUCGCCUCCGGCAAACGUCGCCUUAUAUACCUGAGAAUCGAGGCGAGGGGAUGUGCGACGUGUUACGGCGGAGUGGUCCGGCGGCAGCAUCCCCGCCACUCGAUCUCGGGUCUUUCGUUUCGGGCCACGCGCGUAGAGCGUGGCUGCGGACGGCGUGGGAACGAGAGCGCGUGCGCGCGAAGAUGCAAGUGUGGGAGCGAUCGCUUGCUCGCUCCGUUGUUGUUUAUUUUAUUAGGCGCUAUGCGCCGAUAA